rnacentral:rRNA from 1 species
CGUAGGGGUGCGAGCGUUAAUCGGAAAUUACUGGGCGUAAAGCGUGCGCAGGGCGGUUUCGUAAGACAGAUGUGAAAUCCCCGGGCUCAACCUGGGACCUGCAUUUGUGACUGCAAGGCUAGAGUACGGUAGAGGGGGGAUGGAAUUCCGCGUGUAGCAGUGAAAUGCGUAGAUAUGCGGAGGAACACCGAUGGCGAAGGCAAUCCCCUGGACCUGUACUGACGCUCAUGCACGAAAGCGUGGGGAGCAAACAGGAUUAGAUACCCUGGUAGUCCACGCCCUAAACGAUGUCAACUGGUUGUUGGGUCUUUACUGACUCAGUAACGAAGCUAACGCGUGAAGUUGACCGCCUGGGGAGUACGGCCGCAAGGUUG